UACAGAGGUGGCAAGCGUUGUUCGGAAUUACUGGGCGUAAAGAGCUCGUAGGCGGUUAGUCGCGUCUGCUGUGAAAACUCGGGGCUUAACUCCGGGCCUGCAGUGGGUACGGGCUGACUAGAGUGCGGUAGGGGAGACUGGAAUUCCUGGUGUAGCGGUGAAAUGCGCAGAUAUCAGGAGGAACACCGGUGGCGAAGGCGGGUCUCUGGGCCGUAACUGACGCUGAGGAGCGAAAGCGUGGGGAGCGAACAGG
rnacentral:rRNA from 1 species